rnacentral:rRNA from 1 species
GACGAACGCUGGCGGCGUGCUUAACACAUGCAAGUCGAACGGAAAGGCCCUGCUUGCAGGGUGCUCGGGUGGCGAACGGGUGAGUAACUCGUGGGUGGUCUGCCAUGCACUUCGGGAUAAGCCUGGAAAACUGGGUCUACUACCGGGUAGAAGCAAUUUUCAGCGUGAGGGUUGGAAAGUUUUUUCGGUGUUGGAUGAGGUGGCGGCCUCUUAGCUUGUUGGUGGGGUAAUGGACUACCAAGGCGGCGACGGGUCGCCGGCCUGAGAGGGUGGACGGCCAGCUUGGGACGGAGAGACGGACCAGCCUGCUACGGGAGGCAGCAGUGGGGAAUAUUGCACAAGGGGCGCAAGCCUGAUGCAGCGAGGCCGCGUGGGGGAUGACGGCCUUCGGGUUGGAAGCGCAUUUCGCUAGGGACGAAGCAUUUUGUGACGGUACCUAGAGAAGAAGCACCGGCUAACUACGUG